rnacentral:sRNA from 1 species
UGGGGACUCAUGCGAUACUGCCUACGAUGAGUAGGAGGAAGGUGGGGAUGACGUCAAGUCAUCCUGCCCCUUAUACGCUGGGCUACACACGUGCUACAAUGGGUAGAACAGAGAGUUGCAAAGCCGUGAGGUGAAGCUAAUCUCAGAAAACUAUUCUUAGUUCGGAUUGUACUCUGCAACUCGAGUACAUGAAGUUGGAAUCGCUAGUAAUCGCGAAUCAGCAAUGUCGCGGUGAAUACGUUCUCGGGUCUUGUACACACCGCCCGUCACACCACGAGAGUUGGUUGCACCUGAAGUAGCAGGCCUAACCGUAAGGAGGGAUGCUCCGAGGGUGUGAUUAGCGAUUGGGGUGAAGUUGUAACAAGGUAUCCGUACGGGAACGUGCGGAUGGAUCACCUCCUUUCUAAGGAGUAUAAGUCUUUCUCUAUUCUAUUGGUAAUGUUCUUGUAUGGACUUAUCAAUAAUGCGUUUGUAGCUCAGCUGGUUAGAGCACACGCCUGAUAAGCGUGAGGUCGGUGGUUCAAGUCCACUCAAACGCACCAUAUGGGGAUAUAGCUCAGUUUGGGAGAGCGACGCACUUGCACUGCGUAGGUCAGCGGUUCGAUCCCGCUUAUCUCCACCAUUAAAUUAUCUGAACAUUGGAAACUAUAUAGUAGAACAAACAAGAAAAAAAUUAACUCUAACAAUUUCUUAGAGUUAGCUGUCAAAAAAUAGAUUAAAAUAAUUAAGGGCGCACAAAGGAUGCCUAGGUAGUAAGAGCCGAUGAAGGACGUGGUAAGCUGCGAUAAGCCUAGAUAAGUUGCAAUCGAACGUAAGAGUCUAGGAUUUCCGAAUGGAGCAAUCUAUUAAGAUGGAGUCUUAAUACGAAAGAGGGAACCACGUGAACUGAAACAUCUAAGUAACGUGAGGAAAAGAAAGUAAAAACGAUACCCAAAGUAGCGGCGAGCGAACUGGGUCAAGCCUAAACCUUAAAUAUGUCAAGGAUACAGCCGUUGCAUUUAAGGGGUUGAGGGACAAAGUAGUGAAGAACUGUAAGAUAUUCAAUAUAGUGUAUUGAUGAAUUAGAAUUGUAUGGAAAGAUAAACCGCAGAAGGUGAGAGUCCUGUAUAAGUAAAUCCUUACACAUAUAACUUUGCUCCCAAGUAACAUGGAACACGAGGAAUUCUGUGUGAAUCAGUGAGGACCAUAUCUCAUAAGGCU